rnacentral:rRNA from 1 species
GAGCGGUAGAGAGAAGCUUGCUUCUCUUGAGAGCGGCGGACGGGUGAGUAAUGCCUAGGAAUCUGCCUGGUAGUGGGGGAUAACGUUCGGAAACGGACGCUAAUACCGCAUACGUCCUACGGGAGAAAGCAGGGGACCUUCGGGCCUUGCGCUAUCAGAUGAGCCUAGGUCGGAUUAGCUAGUUGGUGAGGUAAUGGCUCACCAAGGCGACGAUCCGUAACUGGUCUGAGAGGAUGAUCAGUCACACUGGAACUGAGACACGGUCCAGACUCCUACGGGAGGCAGCAGUGGGGAAUAUUGGACAAUGGGCGAAAGCCUGAUCCAGCCAUGCCGCGUGUGUGAAGAAGGUCUUCGGAUUGUAAAGCACUUUAAGUUGGGAGGAAGGGUUGUAGAUUAAUACUCUGCAAUUUUGACGUUACCGACAGAAUAAGCACCGGCUAACUCUGUGCCAGCAGCCGCGGUAAUACAGAGGGUGCAAGCGUUAAUCGGAAUUACUGGGCGUAAAGCGCGCGUAGGUGGUUUGUUAAGUUGGAUGUGAAAUCCCCGGGCUCAACCUGGGAACUGCAUUCAAAACUGACUGACUAGAGUAUGGUAGAGGGUGGUGGAAUUUCCUGUGUAGCGGUGAAAUGCGUAGAUAUAGGAAGGAACACCAGUGGCGAAGGCGACCACCUGGACUAAUACUGACACUGAGGUGCGAAAGCGUGGGGAGCGAACAGGAUUAGAUACCCUGGUAGUCCACGCCGUAAACGAUGAGUGCUAAGUGUUAGGGGGUUUCCGCCCCUUAGUGCUACAGCUAACGCAUUAAGCACUCCGCCUGGGGAGUACGGUCGCAAGACUGAAACUCAAAGGAAUUGACGGGGGCCCGCACAAGCGGUGGAGCAUGUGGUUUAAUUCGAA